GCUCUCACCUGUUCAGAAGGGAAUCAGAGCUCAAUGGGGCUAGAACAGAAGCUCUGGAGGGAUUCAACCGUGCUUCGGGGCUGAGGACACUAAUGAGUCACCAGGACACUGUCGGAAUUGUCCUGGAGUGAAACCCAGGAGUUCUGCACCCACUGCUCAAGGAGGGAAUAUUUUGUUCCAGGCAGGCAUCGUCCACUAGCUGCUGCCCAGAACAGAUGUCAGGAAGAAAACAGCUAAGUGAGUCCUUUAUAAGAAGCUGAGAGAGAGGGGCUCACACAGAAGCUAACAGAGAAGGACAUGAAGAGAAGCUCAGAAAGAAAGUCACAGAUGGAGCAGCCAGAAGCUGAAAGCAACAAAACCCAGGAG